rnacentral:rRNA from 1 species
CCUACGGGAGGCAGCAGUGAGGAAUAUUGGUCAAUGGCCGAGAGGCUGAACCAGCCAAGUCGCGUGCGGGAUGAAUGUCCUAUGGAUUGUAAACUUCUUUUGUCAGGGAGUAAAGUCACCCACGUGUGGGUGUUUGAGAGUACCUUAAGAAUAAGGAUCGGCUAACUCCGUGCCAGCAGCCGCGGUAAUACGGAGGAUGCGAGCGUUAUCCGGAUUUAUUGGGUUUAAAGGGUGCGUGGGCGGGUUAUCAAGUCAGCGGUAAAAUAGUGGAGCUCAACUCCAUCCAGCCGUUGAAACUGAUGAUCUUGAGUGGGCGAGAGGUAUGCGGAAUGCGUGGUGUAGCGGUGAAAUGCAUAGAUAUCACGCAGAACUCCGAUUGCGAAGGCAGCAUACCGGAGCCCGACUGACGCUGAAGCACGAAAGCGUGGGUAUCGAACAGGAUUAGAUACCCUAGUAGUC